AUAUAUAGUUUUACUUAUUUACGAUGGUAUAGAAAAGAAAACUGUCGUUAUGAAGAAAUCUAUCCAAAAGGUUGGCAUGACAGUAACCCUAAUGAUAGGGUCAAUUUAAUGACUAUAACACCUUACACGAUGGAUCAAUUUCAAGUGAUAAAAUGUUUUGUUUUGUUGUAAAAUCCACUUCUUAUUUAGGGGGAGGGGGUAUGAAAAAAAGGAAAUUUUUAAAAGAAAAAUACAUUUGUGUUACUUGGCGAAAAAUUAAUAAUAAAGUGGCGAAAAUUAUAUUGUUUUGGCGAAAGAGGUGGCGAAAAAAAUAAUUGAUCCAGGGGAAACCCUGAU
rnacentral:lncRNA from 1 species